GACGAACGCUGGCGGCGUGCUUAACACAUGCAAGUCGAACGGAAAGGCCCUGCUUUUGUGGGGUGCUCGAGUGGCGAACGGGUGAGUAACACGUGAGUAACCUGCCCUUGACUUUGGGAUAACUUCAGGAAACUGGGGCUAAUACCGGAUAGGAGCUCCUGCUGCAUGGUGGGGGUUGGAAAGUUUCGGCGGUUGGGGAUGGACUCGCGGCUUAUCAGCUUGUUGGUGGGGUAGUGGCUUACCAAGGCUUUGACGGGUAGCCGGCCUGAGAGGGUGACCGGCCACAUGGGUACUGAGAUACGGCCCAGACUCCUACGGGAGGCAGCAGUGGGGAAUAUUGCACAAUGGGCGGGAGCCUGAUGCAGCAACGCCGCGUGCGGGAUGACGGCCUUCGGGUUGUAAACCGCUUUCGCCUGUGACGAAGCGUGAGUGACGGUAAUGGGUAAAGAAGCACCGGCUAACUACGUG
rnacentral:rRNA from 1 species